GACGAACGCUGGCGGCGUGCCUAAUACAUGCAAGUCGAACGAGAGCGACCGGUGCUUGCACUGGUCAAUCUAGUGGCGAACGGGUGAGUAACACGUGGGUAACCUGCCCAUCAGAGGGGGAUAACAUCCGGAAACGGAUGCUAAAACCGCAUAGGUCUUCGAACCGCAUGGUUUGAAGAGGAAAAGAGGCGCAAGCUUCUGCUGAUGGAUGGACCCGCGGUGCAUUAGCUAGUUGGUGAGGUAACGGCUCACCAAGGCCGUGAUGCAUAGCCGACCUGAGAGGGUGAUCGGCCACAUUGGGGACUGAGACACGGCCCAAACUCCUACGGGAGGCAGCAGUAGGGAAUCUUCCGCAAUGGACGCAAGUCUGACGGAGCAACGCCGCGUGAGUGAAGAAGGUUUUCGGAUCGUAAAACUCUGUUGUUAGAGAAGAACAAGUGCUAGAGUAACUGUUAGCGCCUUGACGGUAUCUAACCAG
rnacentral:rRNA from 1 species